rnacentral:rRNA from 1 species
GACGAACGCUGGCGGCGUGCUUAACACAUGCAAGUCGAACGCUGAAGCUCAGCUUGCUGGGUGGAUGAGUGGCGAACGGGUGAGUAACACGUGAGUAACCUGCCCUCUUCUUUGGGAUAACGCCCGGAAACGGGUGCUAUUACUGGAUAUUCACUGAUUCUCGCAUGGGGGUUGGUGGAAAGGUUUUUUCUGGUGGGGGAUGGGCUCGCGGCCUAUCAGCUUGUUGGUGGGGUGAUGGCCUACCAAGGCUUUGACGGGUAGCCGGCCUGAGAGGGUGACCGGUCACAUUGGGACUGAGAUACGGCCCAGACUCCUACGGGAGGCAGCAGUGGGGAAUAUUGCACAAGGGGCGAAAGCCUGAUGCAGCGACGCCGCGUGAGGGAUGGAGGCCUUCGGGUUGUAAACCUCUUUCGCUCAUGGUCAAGCCGCAGCUUUGGGUUGUGGUGAGGGUAGUGGGUAAAGAAGCGCCGGCUAACUACGUG